rnacentral:lncRNA from 1 species
AUGGGCAGAGUCACGUCUGAAUGUUUCUCCAUGAGGCCGAAGCCAAGAAAGCAUGCGAUUGGCUGCGUGCGGCUGGCUUUCCGCAAUAUGCACAGCUCUAUGAAGGUAAGGAGGCCUUUCCUCGGGGCCGGCCGAGCACGGUGCGAAUGGCGAGCAGGAGCGAGUGGAUCGCAGUCACGCCAAAGAGUGGCUGCGGCGUUCCUCUCGGAUGGCUCCUCGCGCCGCGCUGGCAGCCUUCCUCCAAGGCGAUCAGGCACCUGCAGGGCCAGCCGGGGACGCCUGGCAGGAACGCAGGAUGUCCGCCUGGAUCAGGCCCUCUUCACCUGCCUGUGCUAUCGGCUGUUUUGCGUCCCUGAACUUCUCCUCUGCAGGGGUCCACUUUGCCCAAGAUGCCUGGCUGCAGGGGAUGCUGGGAACUCCAGGCAGAUGAGCCUCCUCAUGUGGGAGCGCUAGACCGGCAGCUGCUCAUCCUGCUGGGAAGGGGCCCCCUGCCUGCCUGCCUGGGACUUGGCCCCGGGGCCAAAGGUUGCUACCAGGAGGGGGGUGUUUUGCCUGGAAAGAAGUCAAGGGAAGGGGCCCAGAGCUGCCCUAGAUGUGGGGGGGGAAUUCAUCUCCUGCCCCCAGGACACCUCAUCCUGCUGCUCCGCACACGCUGCCCCACAACCUUUUCCACCGCAGGAGAGAGAAUGUUGCUCGAAGGAAGGACGUUUCCCUGGGAUUUUAAAGCUGCAGACUGAGGGGAGGAACAAAAGGCUGGCAGCUGCUGGGCAGGACCGUGUUUCUCGGGGUGAUGAGAAAUUUGAGCACUGAACACGCGGCAGCACCGAUUCAGCUCUCGGUCACAAACGCAGGCCUUGGCUCAUGCCAUUAAUCUUGCUUAGCAUUUGGCGUCAGAUGCUUUCCUCGACUUGUGGAGGCAUCUUACUGUAAGAUGAAAUGGCCGACUGCUAUUUCUCUCAGCAGUUCUUUCUUCUACUCAACAUGUUUUAAGUUACUUUGCAUUCUUAGUGCGAGGAACCCAAGGUGGAUAGCUCAGGCUUCCUCCGGUUCCCCACAGCAACAGCCCUGUGAGGUAGGCUAGGAAAAGAGGGGGGGGCUGGCCCAAAGACCACCAGGGAGCUCCACGGCCAAGGCGGAACUUGCACCUCGCGGGUCCCCGCGGUGGCCGUCAAGCCACACUGGCUUCCCCAUGUUUGUUCGUGUUGUUCCCAUGUUUCCUUUUAAACCAGGUCAUAUUUUGGAAGGGCCACUUGCUGCAACUGAUUUUUAACAUGGUUUUUAUUACUCUUCUUCUGAAGUGUGCACACAGCACCUCUGUCCACUUUGGAAGCAAUACCUGAGCCAGACUUUCACCAGUUUGCAAUUUCCACCAGUUGCUCACAUAUCUUGACACAUGGCCGUAAAGGCUAGAAAAAUCGCUUUAUGGGAAAUGGGAACUGGAUGCUGAAGGCCCGUUUCUGAGCCUGCAGCGGUCCCGGAAUGGCAGGCUGCCCUGGGGGUGGGGUGCCGCUGAACGGACGUGGGCCGCGCAGGGGCAUUUCGGCUGCUCCGGUGGGCGAGGGGGCCCUGCUUGCAGCCGGCUCAUGCACCAUCCGCACGCAGGAGCUGGCCCUCCCUCCUGACCUGAUGACAUGCCUCUGCCCUUCCUUUCCCUCUUCCCGUCCUCAGAGUCGCUGUUCCCUCUUGACAUCGCCGCUGUGAAGAAGGACCACCGCCUUUUGGACCAGGAUUCCCUUAAAUCCCUCUGCAGGUUAUUUGCAUUUUGAUUCAUGCAUAUUCAUCAAUGCAGGCCAAAGGGGAGAGAGAGAUUCUUUGGCGGGCAG